UGCCAGCCGCCGCGGUAAUACGGAGGGGGUUAGCGUUGUUCGGAAUUACUGGGCGUAAAGCGUACGUAGGCGGAUUAAUAAGUUAGAGGUGAAAUCCCUCGGCUCAACCGAGGACGUGCAUUGGAAACUGAUGGUCUUGAGUCCUGGAGAGGAAGGCGGAAUUCCCAGUGUAGAGGUGAAAUUCGUAGAUAUUGGGAGGAACACCAGCGGCGAAGGCGGCCUUCUGGACAGUGACUGACGCUGAGGUGCGAAAGCGUGGGUAGCAAACAGGAUUAGAUA
rnacentral:rRNA from 1 species